UAAUUCAUAUAGGUUAUUAGCAAGUAAUUAAGUUUGAAUUAUCAUAUCAAAUAAAAAAUCUAAAUAUAAAGAGAAAAUUGGAUCCAACCAUGUACUAACAAGGUUACCUUGAACCCAAUCAGAUUUCUCUAAACCCAAUUGAUACUUCAUAAGCUCAAUUGCUUAUUUCAGGCCUAAUUCCUUUAUUAUGUAACCCCAUAGGUUCAAUUUUAUCUGGUAGUAAGAUAUAUAAUAAUCUCUAUCAAAGUAUCAUAGAAAUUUUUUUAAUAGGUCGGAACAAUUCUACUCUAACUCAUCAAAGAUUGUCGAUCCAGAACAAUCCUAGUGAGCUCUCACAAUCUACUAGUGACAUCUAGCAGUAUGUAGUGGCAACCCAAUAGAAUUGAAAUGAACCUCUAGGUGUGUUAACGUGUGAUUCAAUCCCUCUAUUGUGAGUCUCAACUAGAUGGCAGAUCAUAGAUAAAUCGUCAAACCUCAACAUCAGUCAUAUGAUAGAUGCGAUCAGCUCAAGUUCAAUUAUGAUUUUUAUGAAAACUUCUUUCCAUCUAUCAUAUUACUAUGGCCACAGAUUUUUAGACUUAGCCUCUCAAAUCUUAUAGGACUUCUUCUCUCUUCAAGAUCGAUAGAUCCCAUCUUGAUGUACACCCUACUCCUACAGUAAACCAAUAGUCGCUAAUAUCUACUACAAGGGCUUAUUGAGACUCAUGUUUAUAUGUCAGUCAAACUCCAGCAACCUCACUGCAAGCAAUAGUACCAUCUCAGAUCAAAAGAUCAGUCGCACAACUACAGCAUCGAGACAAUCAUUGAUGAUUGAAUAGAAAUCUAAGUGAUCUCUCGUAUGAUCAUGCUCAGUAUUAUUUGCUCUAACAACUAUCCACACUCAUCGUUCAGUAUCUCUACACCAUAGACCAGAGACUCAUUUAUUUCAAAAAAAGUGAUCUGUGCGUCGGUCUAUCCGGAUCAAUCACCAUCCUCAUGAUGAUUUUAUGAUCGAGAGUAUGUAAAAAUUAAAUACAUAUCUUUAAUUUUCAACACUUUGAGAAUAUAUAUCAAAAAUUAAUUUCAUAGAUGAUUCAAAGACAUAUCACACUUGAAUGAAAAAUAAAUUUAUCUUUUUAUUGAUCAAAUCAAUAUAUUAAGUA
rnacentral:lncRNA from 1 species